ACAGUACUCCCUCCGUCCGAAAAUAGUUGUCAUCAAAUUGGAUGAAAAGGGAUGUAUCUAGAACUAAAAUACGUCUAAAUACAUUUCCUUUUAUCCAUUUUGAUGACAAGUAUUUCCGGACGGAGGGAGUACAAA
rfam:Triticum aestivum genome assembly, contig: Triticum_aestivum_CS42_TGACv1_scaffold_001100_1AL